rnacentral:rRNA from 1 species
GUAAACGAUGAGUGCUAAGUGUUGGAGGGUUUCCGCCCUUCAGUGCUGCAGCUAACGCAUUAAGCACUCCGCCUGGGGAGUACGACCGCAAGGUUGAAACUCAAAGGAAUUGACGGGGGCCCGCACAAGCGGUGGAGCAUGUGGUUUAAUUCGAAGCAACGCGAAGAACCUUACCAGGUCUUGACAUCCUCUGACAACCCUAGAGAUAGGGCUUUCCCUUCGGGGACAGAGUGACAGGUGGUGCAUGGUUGUCGUCAGCUCGUGUCGUGAGAUGUUGGGUUAAGUCCCGCAACGAGCGCAACCCUUGUCGUUAGUUGCCAUCAUUCAGUUGGGCACUCUAGCGAGACUGCCGGUGACAAACCGGAGGAAGGUGGGGAUGACGUCAAAUCAUCAUGCCCCUUAUGACCUGGGCUACACACGUGCUACAAUGGACGGUACAACGAGCAGCGAACUCGCGAGGGCAAGCGAAUCUCUUAAAGCCGUUCUCAGUUCGGAUUGCAGGCUGCAACUCGCCUGCAUGAAGCCGGAAUCGCUAGUAAUCGUGGAUCAGCAUGCCACGGUGAAUACGUUCCCGGGCCUUGUACACACCGCCCGUCACACCACGAGAGUUUGUAACGCCCAAAGUCGGUGCGGUAACCUUUUGGAGCCAGCCGCCUAAGGUGGGAUAGAUGAUUGGGGUG